CGAAACUUCGCGGCCAGAUGCCCGAGGGCGCGGCGGCGCUGCGAGGCUGCUGCUGUUGCCCCUGCGGGCCCCGGGCGCGUCUCCGCGGGCGGCGCUGCCCGCGGCGCGGCGUGUGCACCGAGCGAGUGAAGGACGCUGGCAGCAGCAGCCCGGAGCCCCCGAGCCCUCGGCAGGUCUGCCCGUCCUUCCCCGCGAUCUGAUUGGAUAAAGUGGGGGCUCGACGGUGGCCGACGUGGGACAGUCUGGCUGCGGCCGGGGUCUCGGAAACCAUGGGUUAUUGCGGUGGCAGGUGCACGCUUAUCUUUAUCUGUGGCAUGCAACUGGUUUGUGUGCUGGAGAGGCAAAUAUUUGACUUCCUUGGAUAUCAGUGGGCACCUAUCCUGGCAAAUUUUGUACAUAUUAUUAUCGUCAUUCUUGGUUUAUUUGGAACCAUUCAAUAUAGACCUCGUUACAUAACAGGAUAUGCUGUCUGGCUAGUCCUCUGGGUUACGUGGAAUGUGUUUGUUAUCUGCUUCUAUUUGGAGGCUGGGGACCUCUCAAAGGAAACAGACCUUAUCCUGACUUUUAAUAUUUCAAUGCACCGAUCUUGGUGGAUGGAGAAUGGACCAGGGUGUAUGGUGACAUCAGUGACUCCCGCCCCAGACUGGGCCCCAGAAGACCAUCGCUACAUCACGGUCUCAGGGUGUUUUCUGGAGUACCAGUACAUAGAAGUGGCUCAUAGUUCCCUCCAGAUUGUCCUCGCACUGGCAGGGUUCAUCUACGCCUGUUAUGUUGUGAAAUGUAUAACUGAAGAAGAGGACAGCUUUGAUUUCAUAGGUGGCUUUGACUCUUACGGCUAUCAGGGGCCUCAGAAGACAUCUCAUUUACAGCUGCAGCCGAUGUACAUGCAAAUUCCCUUGGAUAACAACUGAUAACAAAUUCUAUAUAUCAGCAUCAGGUGAUAUGCUGAAUUGCAAGCGAAGAUCAAAAUAGAAAGUCAAAAUAACACAAAUGGCUUCAAUACAUCAGCUCCUGGACCUUUCAAAGAACUUGUUUUGCGGUGGCCUCCUGCAUUUUUUGAAGAGCAAGAAGCAACGAAGUUUAAUACAUACUAACAAAACAUAAAGCCUCCACAUGCACUGGGAGGGACACACACGCACACACCGGCACACACCAAUUCUCCCUGGCCUCAUCUUUCUAUCUGAAACAGACAAACACGCAGGACGCGCCCCUCGUGGAUUUCCUGAAUGCAGGCUGCUUUCUCCCAGGGCUUUGCAAAGUUCACAAGGAAACGCGUUGGCGCCCUCUGCUGGCCGUCACUAACUCCUCUACAGCCCAGCCGGGCGGCCUCUGCCGGCUGCGAAGUCAUCCGGGGCACGGUCUGCCCUCCAUAUGUCUUGAUAGCACCAGGGCUAUGUAGGCAAUGUAAUUGCAAAAACACACACACAAACAUGCCAUGAUGACCUUGUAGCCGAAGUCUGAAGUGGCAGGUGUUUGCCCUAAAGGCUGUACCGUACAUACUUGCCUUAACCCACCUAAGUUGUGCGCCUGAGAGUCCUCAGUGCAGACAUCCCCAAGUCACCUCCUUUAGGCUAACACACUGCUGUUAAUUCCGAAUGAGUUCAAGUCUGUAUGCGUGUCAUGUCAAGAAACAGGACUACAUAGUUCAGCAGCUCCAGUGUGUCUGUGUAUGAAAACUGCCAACUGUCAGCCAAGUGCUUUUACCAUUGAGCCUCCACGGUGGCCAAAAAGAGACAAGUAACAGUAACAAAGUAAUAAUCGUCAUCUUUAUAAUUCUUCAACAAGGUCUUCUGAGGGGGUUGGGUGGGACAAAGCAAAACAUAUUAAUCUACUAAACUCAUUAAUCUACGGGGAAGCAGAGAACAGAAAUGGCUUAACUCACUGAUUUUAUUUAUUGCACUCUAGGUGCUUUUUUAAGUAUCUACAAAUGUCUUUUACUAACACAGAAACAGCUGUGGAUUUCUAUCAACAGAGGCCAACUGAAUAUGUAUUAGCUAUGUUUACUCUUUUAUAUCUAAUUCAAAUGGAAGCCCCUAGGUAGGUGAACUUUUUUUCCUAACUUGAGCGUACGAGAUUAUUUUUUGGGUGGGUGGGGGGAAACAAUAGUUACCUUGGUGAAAUAUUUGAGAUCUCUUUGUGGUAAUUGGGGGAUCUGUUGUGUGUUAGAGUGUAUUUUAAUCCUCCUGUAUUAUUGUGGCAGAAAAACUGUGCUGUUAAUGUAGUUGGCAACAAGAUGCCUUUGGAAACUUAAUAGUAGGUCAAUGUGUUUAUGGAAUAUUCUGAAUUCCUAGGAAAUUUUGUUCUAUAUAUUCAAGCAUUAUUUGAUUUUCAUUAGUGAAAAACAUAAUUAGCUCAGGCUUGUCAGGAACUCAGAUGAGUCAUUUUCUUUUUGAUCCACCUGAGACACUAAAAUCAAUUUUUUAGGACUAUUAAUAAUACACCAUCUUUAAAUGCAGUGAAAUUUGGACUUGAAAAGUUAUAAAUUGGCAUGGAGCAACUUUUUCUCUUGGUUUCUAUGAAGUUUCAGUUACUGGGUUAACCUACUUUGAAUGUUAGCCCAUCCAAAGCUACAUAAACCAGUCCCAUUACUGUGUCUGCAUGGAUGUCUGUGAUCUACACACAUAUGCAUUUGAAGAUAACAAAGGAACAAAGGUUACUAGUAGAACAUAAACUACAAAAAAAAUAGUUCCAGCACUUGUGCUUGAAUUUUCUCAGUGGUUUGUAUGUUUGUCCAUAUAUACAUGCAUAAAAUAUACAGUCACAAAUAUGUCAGUGAAACCUCAUAUGAUGAUUUUAUAGUGACAUGCAUGUUUAAUGUAUGAGAAAAAUAUUUACCAAUGUAUCAUCCUUUGAUUCUUAAAAUAGAAAUACUACACAUGCCAGAAAUUAUUCUAAUGUGACUAUUAACAUGAGGUUUCACUGUACAUUCACGCUGUGAUGAGAUUCCACCCUUCUAAGACAUGUAUAUGGAUAGAGAUUUAAAUGCACAGAGAACAAAACCCUCAUAUUCCUGCUUUACGUUGCAGCCAAGUUACCAUCUAAUCACUAUGAUCAUCACCACCAAAAUUUUCAAAACCAGUUGUUGACUACUAAACAGGAAUCAGUGAACAGGGAGCACAGUAGUGUGAUUCUAUCUGGAGAAACAUCUAAGGUGUACAGCUGUAUCCUCCUCAAAAUCCGGUGAAGAAUGCUAUUUUUCUAGGCUGAGCUUUUGUUAUAAACCUAAUAUUCAGAAGGCAAGAGUUACAAUCCUGAUGUGUCUUUCUUUCUUUUGCAUUUGUUAAUUAUGAAUGUAUUUUUAACAGAGUGAUUUUUUUGACUUACUAGUGUAAUUUGCAUUUUAAAAAUAAAUGGAAAAACCACCAAGUUUCUGGGCC